rnacentral:rRNA from 1 species
CGGCUUUCCUAUUUUGUUGGUUUCUAGGAGAGCCGUAAUGAUUAAUAGGGACAGUCGGGGGCACUAGUAUUCAGCUGUCAGAGGUGAAAUUCUUGGAUUUGCUGAAGACUAACUACUGCGAAAGCAUUUGCCAAGGAUGUUUUCAUUAAUCAGUGAACGAAAGUUAGGGGAUCGAAGACGAUCAGAUACCGUCGUAGUCUUAACCAUAAACUAUGCCGACUAGGGAUCGGUCGGUGUUAUUCUUUUGACCCGAUCGGCACCUUACGAGAAAUCAAAGUUUUUGGGUUCUGGGGGGAGUAUGGUCGCAAGGCUGAAACUUAAAGAAAUUGACGGAAGGGCACCACCAGGAGUGGAGCCUGCGGCUUAAUUUGACUCAACACGGGGAAACUC